rnacentral:lncRNA from 1 species
UUCACAAUGGCCUCUACAACCAUGGCUCUUUCUUCCCCAUCAUUCGCCGGUAAGGCAGUGAAGUUCUCCCCUUCCACCCCUGAAAUCCAGGGAACUGGCCGUGUUUCCAUGAGGAAAACCACCAAGCCUGUUCCUUCUGGUAGCCCAUGGUACGGUCCUGACCGAGUUUUGUACUUGGGUCCACUUUCCGGUGAGCCACCAUCUUACUUGACCGGUGAGUUCCCUGGUGACUAUGGUUGGGACACUGCUGGACUCUCAGCUGAUCCCGAGACCUUUGCUAGGAACCGUGAGCUCGAAGUCAUUCACUGCAGAUGGGCCAUGUUGGGAGCUCUUGGGUGUGUUUUCCCUGAGCUGUUGGCUAGGAACGGUGUCAAGUUCGGUGAAGCUGUAUGGUUCAAGGCCGGGUCUCAAAUCUUCAGUGAGGGUGGACUUGACUACUUGGGUAACCCAAGCUUGAUCCAUGCUCAAAGCAUUUUGGCCAUCUGGGCUUGCCAAGUUAUCUUGAUGGGAGCCGUCGAGGGCUACCGUAUUGCCGGUGGACCACUCGGUGAAGUGACUGACCCAUUGUACCCAGGUGGCAGCUUUGACCCAUUGGGUCUUGCUGAUGACCCAGAGGCAUUCGCUGAGCUCAAGGUGAAAGAGAUCAAGAACGGUAGGUUGGCUAUGUUCUCAAUGUUCGGGUUCUUCGUUCAGGCCAUCGUGACCGGAAAGGGACCAUUGGAGAACUUGGCUGACCACCUUGCUGACCCAGUCAACAACAAUGCUUGGGCCUAUGCCACCAACUUUGUCCCCGGAAAGUGAACUUAGAGAGUGAGAAGGGAUUUGUCUUGUUUAUGUUUUUAUUUGUUGGUGUGAAUUUAAAUUUGUUGCACAAUCAAUGAAAGUAUAAUGUGAAUUUUGUGUG